UCCUGACACAGGGAGGUAGUGACAAGAAAUAACAAUACAGGGCCUUCUUGGUCUUGUAAUUGGAAUGAGUACAACUUACAUCUCUUCACGAGGAUCAAUUGGAGGGCAAGUCUGGUGCCAGCAGCCGCGGUAAUUCCAGCUCCAAUAGCGUAUAUUAAAGUUGUUGCAGUUAAAACGCUCGUAGUCGGAUUUCGGGGCGGGGCCGCCGGUCUGCCGAUGGGUAUGCACUGGCGGGCGCGUCCUUCCUUCCGGAGACUGGCCCUACUCUUAACUGAGCGGGGUCGGGAGUCGGAUCGUUUACUUUGAAAAAAUCAGAGUAUUUCAAGCAGGCAGCUCGCUCUUGCAUGGAUUAGCAUGGGAUAAUGAAAUAGGACUUUGGUGCUAUUUUGUUGGUUUCGAACACCGAAGUAAUGAUUAACAGGGACA
rnacentral:rRNA from 1 species